rnacentral:lncRNA from 1 species
UUUUUUUUUGAAAAACUUCGGUACCACCCCGUGGUUUCGUAUUUUUUUUAUUUUAAUAUCACGUGAUUUAAAGUGUAUCAAUUUAUUACCUAAUUUUUUUAUUUUCAUUAUCCCGUCUAUUAUUUUUUUUUUAAAAUCAAUGAUAAAGUUAAAACUAAAAGGUAUUAAAGUGAAUAUUCAAUAAACCUAGCUGAGAUAUCUGAAGUUUUUUGUAUAUAAUUUAAUAAAAUAUUAACAGGGGAAGCUGAUGAAAAGAGAAAAAUAAAAUUAUAUGGUACUAAAUUGAUACACUUUAAACCGGAGGAUACUAAAGUGAGAAAGUGUGAAACCACAUGACAGUAUUUAAAGUUUACCCUUUCUUUUCUGGGUAAAUUUGUAGAAAAUUAGUAUUUAAAGAAAAUAUAAAAAA